rnacentral:rRNA from 1 species
CCUACGGGAGGCAGCAGUAGGGAAUAUUGCUCAAUGGGCGAAACCCUGAAGCAGCCACGCCGCGUGGAGGAUGAAGGUUUUCGGAUUAUAAACUCCUUUUGUUAGAGAAGAUAAUUAUGGUAUCUAACGAAUUAGCACCGGCUAACUCCGUGCCAGCAGCCGCGGUAAUACGGAGGGUGCAAGCGUUACUCGGAAUCACUGGGCGUAAAGAGCGCGUAGGCGGGAUAGCAAGUCAGAUGUGAAAUCCUAGGGCUUAACCAUAGAACUGCAUUUGAAACUGUUAUUCUAGAGUAUGGGAGAGGGAGGUGGAAUUCGUGGUGUAGGGGUAAAAUGCGUAGAGAUCAAGAGGAAUACUCAUUGCGAAGGCGGCCUGCUAGAACAUAACUGACGCUGAUGCGCGAAAGCGUGGGGAGCAAACAGGAUUAGAUACCCGAGUAGUC